AGACCCGAAACCCGGUGAUCUAGCCAUGGGCAGGUUGAAGGUUGGGUAACACUAACUGGAGGACCGAACCGACUAAUGUUGAAAAAUUAGCGGAUGACCUGUGGCUGGGGGUGAAAGGCCAAUCAAACCGGGAGAUAGCUGGUUCUCCCCGAAAGCUAUUUAGGUAGCGCCUCGUGAAUUCAUCUCCGGGGGUAGAGCACUGUUUCGGCUAGGGGGCCAUCCCGGCUUACCAACCCGAUGCAAACUGCGAAUACCGGAGAAUGUUAUCACGGGAGACACACGGCGGGUGCUAACGUCCGUCGUGAAGAGGGAAACAACCCAGACCGCCAGCUAAGGUCCCAAAGUCAUGGUUAAGUGGGAAACGAUGUGGGAAGGCCCAGACAGCCAGGAUGUUGGCUUAGAAGCAGCCAUCAUUUAAAGAAAGCGUAAUAGCUCACUGGUCGAGUCGGCCUGCGCGGAAGAUGUAACGGGGCUAAACCAUGCACCGAAGCUGCGGCAGCGAACGUAUCACCCAAGACAACUUUACGGAGUUGACGAUUGACGGAGCGAAGCGACGUCAAAGCGUUCAUUAAAGUCGAGUUGGCUUAGGGAUACGUUCGUUGGGUAGGGGAGCGUUCUGUAAGCCUGUGAAGGUGUGUCGUGAGGCAUGCUGGAGGUAUCAGAAGUGCGAAUGCUGACAUAAGUAACGAUAAAGCGGGUGAAAAGCCCGCUCGCCGGAAGACCAAGGGUUCCUGUCCAACGUUAAUCGGGGCAGGGUGAGUCGACCCCUAAGGCGAGGCCGAAAGGCGUAGUCGAUGGGAAACGGGUUAAUAUUCCCGUACUUGGUGUUACUGCGAAGGGGGGACGGAGAAGGCUAUGUUGGCCGGGCGACGGUUGUCCCGGUUUAAGCGUGUAGGUGUGUGUUCCAGGUAAAUCCGGUUCACUUUAACACUGAGGCGUGAUGACGAGGCACUACGGUGCUGAAGCAACAAAUGCCCUGCUUCCAGGAAAAGCCUCUAAGCAUCAGGUAACAUCAAA
rnacentral:rRNA from 3 species